GAUGAACGCUAGCUACAGGCUUAACACAUGCAAGUCGAGGGGAAACGGCAUUAAGUGCUUGCACUUUUUGGACGUCGACCGGCGCACGGGUGAGUAACGCGUAUCCAACCUUCCCAUGACUAAGGGAUAACCUGCCGAAAGGCAGACUAAUACCUUAUGGUCUUCACUGACGGCAUCAGAUGUGAAGUAAAGAUUUAUCGGUUAUGGAUGGGGAUGCGUCUGAUUAGCUUGUUGGCGGGGUAACGGCCCACCAAGGCAACGAUCAGUAGGGGUUCUGAGAGGAAGGUCCCCCACAUUGGAACUGAGACACGGUCCAAACUCCUACGGGAGGCAGCAGUGAGGAAUAUUGGUCAAUGGGCGAGAGCCUGAACCAGCCAAGUAGCGUGCAGGAUGACGGCCCUAUGGGUUGUAAACUGCUUUUGUAUGGGGAUAAAGUCAAUCACGUGUGAUUGUUUGCAGGUACCAUACGAAUAAGGACCGGCUAAUUCCGU
rnacentral:rRNA from 1 species